rnacentral:rRNA from 2 species
UACGUAGGUGGCAAGCGUUGUCCGGAAUUAUUGGGCGUAAAGCGCGCGCAGGUGGUUCCUUAAGUCUGAUGUGAAAGCCCACGGCUCAACCGUGGAGGGUCAUUGGAAACUGGGGAACUUGAGUGCAGAAGAGGAAAGUGGAAUUCCAAGUGUAGCGGUGAAAUGCGUAGAGAUUUGGAGGAACACCAGUGGCGAAGGCGACUUUCUGGUCUGUAACUGACACUGAGGCGCGAAAGCGUAGGGAGCAAACAGG